UACGGAGGGUGCAAGCGUUAUCCGGAUUCACUGGGUUUAAAGGGUGCGUAGGUGGGCUGGUAAGUCAGUGGUGAAAUCUCCAGGCUUAACUUGGAAACUGCCAUUGAUACUAUCAGUCUUGAAUACCGUGGAGGUCAGCGGAAUAUGUCAUGUAGCGGUGAAAUGCUUAGAUAUGACAUAGAACACCAAUUGCGAAGGCAGCUUACUACACAGUUAUUGACGCUGAGGCACGAAAGCGUGGGGAUCAAACAGG
rnacentral:rRNA from 1 species